rnacentral:lncRNA from 1 species
CGUGCUUGUCUUCACAGAGAACGCCUCGCGGACUGUUCAAUCUACGUCUAGUGCACCGUUCGAUCCGUGCUGCCGCCGUCCAGACUUGGGGAGGAGAAGCCAGCAUCUUCUCUUCUCGCCUCCACAACUCCACCACUCGCUGCUGCUUCGACCCAACACCGCGUGGGCGCGAGCAAGCCGCCGCCGCGCCUCUCUCUCUCUCCCCCCUCCCUCGCUCCCUCCCUCUCUCUCUGUACGAAGCUUCUGGGCGACGAAGAACAAGAGGAGGGAGGGAGGAUUUGUGGGCGAUUUCUUCCGAUCGAACGUGGCUAAUCUAUCCCCUUGCUUUGAUUUGUUUCCAUGUGGAUUCAGGGGCUCUAAUUCCCGUUGUUUUUGUGGCCUCUUUCUCUUUUUUCAGAAGAAACAUCUAGGCGGCGAAGAACUAAAGCAGUGGCUUGAGGAUUUGAGGGCAUUUCUUUCCAUCGAAGGUGAUUACUCUCUUCCCAUUGCUUGAUUUUUGCUUCUACGUUGAUACGGCGAGUCAUUCCCGUUGAUUUUUCUGGGAGUUUGCGCGCAUAUUGCAGAUGUGCUCGUGGGGGGUAUUCUUAGUUGAUUUUAGCACUGAUUAGGCUCUACCCCUUGAAUUCACUUUGUUCCAGGAGGAUUCGGCGCCAUGUAUUUGUUGAUUGUUUUGGCCCUUUUUCAUGGGUUUUUAGGGUGCAUUUUUUGAUGUGGUAGUGCUGAAGGUGGAAUAUUUGGUGGAUUUUGUCGAUUUUGGUACAUGUGUGUAUGCAUUUUUGUGGUGGGGGGGCGGGGGGGGGGAGGGGUGGCUUCCUUUUCAUGAUGUUGUAGAGAUGGGUAUGUGUGAGAUUUCUAGUUGAUUUUUGGUUGGGCAAAGGAGUUAUAUGGGUGUUAAAUUUCAUGUUAAUUUGUAUUUGUUGCAUGGUGCAUAUAGGAUAUAUCAUCAGUAGUUUUCUCUUUUUGAGGAAAUAAUAUAUCAUGUGUAAUUGGUAUCAUGCUUAGUUAUGUUAGUCAGGUGCUUCAUUGUGCUGGAAUCAGAUGGGCACUGAUGUGUUAAAAUACAUGUCACUUUGUGAUAUCGAUUCAGUUAAGUCACAAUAAUUACUGUUGUAGCAAAAUAAAAUCCUUAUAUGGCCGGACCGUACAUUCUACGUGGCGACGACUGAGUCAACAUUUCCUAAGCGUGAGUCAAGACGCCCACGUGACGCAGUCAAUCCUACGUGGCAAAGGAAGACAAGUCAACAAGUCAAGCGUCUCGUGCCAUGGUCAAAGGAUGGAAUGAGCUAGAGUAGGGGGCAAGAAAGGUGU